AUUGAACGCUGGCGGCAUGCCUUACACAUGCAAGUCGAACGGCAGCAUGGAGAGCUUGCUCUCUGAUGGCGAGUGGCGAACGGGUGAGUAAUGCAUCGGAACGUACCGUGUAAUGGGGGAUAACGCAGCGAAAGUUACGCUAAUACCGCAUACGACCUGAGGGUGAAAGCAGGGGAUCGCAAGACCUUGCGUUAUACGAGCGGCCGAUGUCAGAUUAGCUAGUUGGUGAGGUAAAGGCUCACCAAGGCGACGAUCUGUAGCGGGUCUGAGAGGAUGAUCCGCCACACUGGGACUGAGACACGGCCCAGACUCCUACGGGAGGCAGCAGUGGGGAAUUUUGGACAAUGGGGGCAACCCUGAUCCAGCCAUGCCGCGUGAGUGAAGAAGGCCUUCGGGUUGUAAAGCUCUUUCGGCCGGGAAGAAAUCGCACAGGCUAAUACUCUGUGUGGAUGACGGUACCGGCAUAAGAAGCACCGGCUAACUACGUGCCAGCCGCCGCUGUAAGAC
rnacentral:rRNA from 1 species